rnacentral:lncRNA from 1 species
CAGUUGCGGUUCAACAAAAGAACAGCAGCAGUACAUACAUCUCUUUCCUGUCUACUGCUCUUUUCUGUCGCUAAUUUGUUUCUCUCUAUACUGCACCACGAGGGAGGUUGGACGGACUGCAAGACAAAAAAAGCUAUGUUCUACACACAGGCCUAGCCACCUGCAUGCACUACUUCCUCCGGUCCCCGUCUAGGUAAGGGGCUCACACCAGUACAACUCUUCCUCCCUUAUCCGUCCGAGCACCUCCUGCCAUGCUCCUUUACGAGCGAGCUUUUGCCGGCACUGGUGCACGCCGCCACAUGUUCAAAAGAGUGUCUUGGAAAAAGUUCAGAAGUUUGGUUCCAUGAAAAAUUGCACUUGCUCGUCUUGAAAGACCAUGAAAGUUCAGAAGUCAAGGUGCCCAGCACCUGUUUGAUGAAAUGGCAGGGGUGCGAGUUGCUCCUUGCCGUUUUUGAGCCUAUAAGUUCUGCUCCUUGCCGCCAUUGGCGCUCGCUUGUCAUGACAAAUAGGCCGAGCAAUGCGAGAAGAGGCAGGCUGGUACCGAACCUAGUGUGGUGCUGCAUGUGCUUUUCAUCGUAGGAGAAAUCUGCAGCGUGAUAUAAUUGAGACUUCAUUUUCAUAGCAGCAUUGUAGGACAGAACAGUACAGAAUGCCUAUCUGUCUUCUCAAAGAUUGACUGUGUUUGUGCUUAUACGUCUCUCUCUACUAAUUGGUGUGAUUAAAUUUAUAUUUUGAUCAUUGGAUCCUCGCUUGUUAAAUCUAGCAUGCACGAAAGUUUAGGAAAAGAGGCCUGAACAAAUUGGGUGCACUCUACCUUUUUGUUCUUAUGCUUGGUAAACCUUGUUCAGUUUGCAUCGGAGAACUUGUACUAUUCCUGUUGCUCUCAAGCUAUAUGUUUAUAUGCCUAAAAAGAACUUCAACCAUCCUUUUGAUGUUUCUUUAUUGUCAAAUAGAAGCUAUAUAGUCUGGACAUAUGUAGUAAUAACAUUUCUUAUGGAGCAGUACACAUAUUUAGAAAUUUAAUGUAGUUACAAAACAUGAAUCUCAUUCCCAAAAACCUGCAAUAAACAUCAAUUUAUAUAUUGACAUUUGCUGCCGGUCCUUUUCUUGUGUAUGUUCAGUUCGACAUAUGGUGGUUCUCCAGAUCAACAUUGUGUGCUUUUUUUAAUUCAUCCUGCGGGUGAAAAAAGGAGCUCCCUUUUAGUUCAAAUGGAUCCAAAAAAUGGGUGAUGCAUUACAGUUCAAGACCAUUCUGUUGGUUUAGGCUCCAUGUUGCUAGUUUGGCAAAUAUUUUUUGCAUCUACUUGCGGAUGGCUUCCAUUUUGUGCUCCCAUGGGUGUUUGUUCUUAUUCCUGAAAGAAAGAAAAUAAUCUAUUGCAUGUGAUAGUUCAUCUGAUUUGUAUGAUUUUUUUACCUAUUUUGCUCCAUUUUUUUCCUUGCAGAUCAUGAUCUUGAGAGGCUCACCGUCGAGGCUGAAGGUAAAUUCCAUUUUCCAAUGGUUCUUUCAGUAGUACUAUUUCAGUCCAAGUUUUCCCAAGACUAGUACUGGUAAUUGUUAUUUCACUAUGUAUUCUUUCCUCAGUCCAUAGAGAAACAUGGGAAAAGUUUCGAUCAUGUCGGAUAUAUAGUUCAAUUUUAUAUAUCAUAAGAAGAAAAGAACAUGUUUUCUAUACGAGAAAAUCAAAAACAUUAUUAGCAAUUCACUAUGUAUUCUACCAUCAGUUCUGUGUGUGUUAGAGAGAGGGUUCGGUGUCUCAUUGUUUUCACUUGCCCCGAAAAAUAUAUAUUCUAUUGCAGAUUAGGAACAUUGUAUUUAGAUUUUUUUAAACAAAGAACUAAUCAGUUCAUAUAAGUUCAAAAGACAAAGCGUUGAAAGUUCAAUCAAAAGCUCUCACCACUUUCCUUUCUAUUUCUUAAUUAUUAUACGGCAUUUCAAGCAUUGAGCAAAAGGGAUUAGUAUAAAUUGCAGAAGUAGUUGCAGGAUGCUUAAGUUCUUUUUGACUUUUUUUCUCUCAUUCUUCAUGUACUGACGAGUUGUUUCAUUUUUUCUGGUUUCAAAAGUAGAAGGGGGAGAUGUAGAUGCUGGACUACUCAGGGGUCAGGGCCUUUGCCGCUGAUGUUGUGUUGUGUUAGGUCAACACGAAGUACUAGAAUUAUUUUGCAGGAAGAGAAGGCAGCGAGAAGAUGUUCCAGGUGACACGCCCUUCCAUCAAAAAAAAGUUCAAACAUAGCAAAAAGUCACAGAAAAGGAUGUGAACAUAGCAUACUCCCAUGGUUGUAUGAGUAAACAUACACUAAGUGUAGACGUUCACCAUGUGCUUUAUCAUCAGUUCAAAAAAAAAGCUCUGUGUGUGCUACUGAAAUUGACAUGGUUUAGUUUGCUUUUACUUGUAUUCUACUGAUAGAUCAACAAUAUUUGCUUGUGUACUGAAGUGACUAAUUUGAACCACACUGCUUGUGUACUAAUGUUGUUUGCUUUUGUACACCUGCUUAUAUUUUUUGUGGUAGUCCCAAGUAUAAUUGUUUAAAAAGUACAAAUGAAUGUCUGCAAAAAAGAAAAGAAAAAAAUAUUUGUGGCAUCUCAAUAUAAAAAGAAAAUAAAAAUUCAGUAGAUCAAAGGUGAGAAAACAAGAUGUUUAGAAUAAAAAGGAACUUAAAAAGAAUACACAGGAAGUUCCCAGUGUGAAAAGAACAUGAUGAUCAUGCAAUAUAAAAUAAAGAAACACUAAUAAAGAUCAAUGUAAAAAAUGUCGGGUGAGUUCAAAACUAGAA